AAAGUGAAUCAAGGUUUCUCCAGCAGCUUCAAGUCAAACCCCACUGGCAAUAUUUUUGUGGACCCAUCAGUGGAGCUCCUUCAGGUCCCCAAUAAAGAGUCAGGACCACAGAGGAUCUUGUGCUCUGGAUGGGGCUUCAACCCUCAAAUUAAAUGGUUUCCUGAGUCUCAGCAAGCAUCUCCAUCAACGAAUGACAUCAGCAUGAGUGCAGAUGGACGUGUGGCAGUAACCAGUCAACUUCACAUCCCUCAGACAGAGUGGAAAACAGGGAAGGUCUUCACUUGUUUAGUGUCUGACAAGUCUCUGAGUAAAACAGUUGAAAAGAACAUCAGCAUCUGUUCAGCUCAUUCAAGCGCCCCUCCUUCAGUUCAUGUGGAGGUUCCCAGCUUCAAGACAGUAAUGGAGUCAACGUCUGAUGUGAAGGCAACGUGUUCAGUCCGCACAGUGUUUGAAGCAACGGUGACCUGGCUGAUGGAUGGGCAACCCCCAUCCAGUAACCAAGUGAACCAGGUCACAAAUACAACUCAUUUAAUAAGCACUCUGACGGUUUCCUCGAGUCGGUGGAAACAACUGAAGCUUCUGAAAUGUAAAGUUGAACAUCAUUGCUUCUCAUCCUCUGAGGAGACAAUAAAUGUUGCAGCGCCUGCAGUUACAGCUCCAUCAGUGGAGAUCAGGAGAUCUCUCCCAGAUUUGCUGAAGGGAAACAUUGCUGUGCUGGAGUGUGACGUCACACAACUCUCCUCCAUUGACCUCUACAUCACCUUUCAGGCCAACAGUGUUGACAUCUCUGACAAACAGUAUGUUGAUCUUCCUGAAGCCCCAGGCCUCCAUUCAGUCAUUAGACGCUUCACUGUCCCUCCAAACUACUGGAAGAGAGAAACAAGUUUCACCUGCAAAGUGAAUCAAGGUUUCUCCAGCAGCUUCAAGUCAAACCCCACUGGCAAUAUUUUUGUGGACCCAUCAGUGGAGCUCCUUCAGGUCCCCAGUAAAGAGUCAGGACCACAGAGGAUCUUGUGCUCUGGAUGGGGCUUCAACCCUCAAAUUAAAUGGUUUCCUGAGUCUCAGCAAGCAUCUCCAUCAACGAAUGACAUCAGCAUGAGUGCAGAUGGACGUGUGGCAGUAACCAGUCAACUUCACAUCCCUCAGACAGAGUGGAAAACAGGGAAGGUCUUCACUUGUUUAGUGUCUGACAAGUCUCUGAGUAAAACAGUUGAAAAGAACAUCAGCAUCUGUUCAGUAACUCCAGCAUCAUCUCAGAUAGUUGCUGUAUAUGUUCAGGGACCACCCCUCCAGGAUCUUCAGAGAAAGGGACAGGUGACUCUCACCUGUCUUCUGGUUGGCCCUUCUCUUGAUGAUUUCUCCAUCACCUGGAAAGUAGGUGGGAACAAAUAUUCUCUUAAUGUCCAUACGGAGCCACCAGUGAGUCACAGCAAUGGGACGGAGUCUUUGCGGAGCUUCCUCAAAGUGUCAGCGGAGGAUUGGCAUGCAUAUAAACAAGUGUCUUGUGAGGGGAAGCACCGAUGUUCCAACCAGGGCUACCAGGACCAUAUAAGCAAAAGCAGAGGUAGUGUGAAACAUCAGAAGCUCAGCAGUAAAAAGAAAAAUCUCCAUAAUGCUUGUGCUGGUUGUGACUAA